AGAACGAACGCUGGCGGCAUGCCUAACACAUGCAAGUCGAACGCUCCUGGGGCUUCGGUCUCAGGGGAGUGGCGCACGGGUGAGUAACACGUGAGCAACCUGCCCUUGACUCUGGGAUAACUCCGGGAAACCGGGGCUAAUACUGGAUAUGACGCACGGAGGCAUCUCCUGUGUGUGGAAAGAUUCAUUGGUCAAGGAUGGGCUCGCGGCCUAUCAGCUUGUUGGUGGGGUAAUGGCCUACCAAGGCGACGACGGGUA
rnacentral:rRNA from 1 species